GACGAACGCUGGCGGCGUGCUUAACACAUGCAAGUCGAACGAGUGGCGGAAGGGUGAGUAAUGUCUGGGAAAAUGCCCGAUGGAGGGGGAUAACUACUGGAAACGGUAGCUAAUACCGCAUACCAGCGGAUGUGCCCAGAUGGGAAUAGCUAGUAGGGGGGGUAACGGCUCACCUAGGCGACGAUCCCUAGCUGGUCUGAGAGGAUGACCAGCCACACUGGAACGGAGACACGGUCCAGACUCCUACGGGAGGCAGCAGUGGGGAAUAUUGCACAAUGGUCGCAAGCCUGAUGCAGCCCUGCCGCGUGUAUGAAGAAGGCCUUCGGGUUGUAAAGUACUUUCAGCGAGGAGGCGUUACUCGCAGAAGAAGCACCGGCUAACUCCGUGCCAGCCGCCGCGGUAAUUC
rnacentral:rRNA from 1 species